AUUAAAUUAAAGUCCUUUCCUCUCUAUUUCACACUGCAACGAUUUAGAUGAGCUUAUACAUCUUAGAAUUCUUAGCAUAGGAAAGUAGUAGAUCUGUAUAAAGGGUUGCUAAGCAGUAGCAACAAAUCCCUAUUCUUGAAAACCCUAACUCGCUGCGCUACUGUGAGAAGAUAAUCGGUAGCAGAAAUCUCAUCUACAAGCUAUGGAAUUGUUAAGUCUUCCACAAGAUAUUCAAUUUGAGAUUUUCAAGAGAUUACCAAUGAAAUCCAUCUCCAUCUGCAGGUGCGUAUGCAAGAUUUGUUAUACUGUACUUUCUAACCCUAAAUUCGUCAACAAUCUUAUCACUCGAACAAAUAAUAACCCUAGACUCAUGGUAUUUAAAAUUCCGCAAGCAAUAUUUAAAAAACCCAUAGAUUUAGUUUACUCCAUUGGUUAUGCUUCAGUAUUAACGUUGCCAACAUCUGAUCAUGUGUAUGAUGGAUAUGGAGGUGGAUAUGAAUAUGAAUAUGAAAGCAAUGGAGGAGCUGUUCAAAUUGAUUAUCCAUUUCAUAACUAGUAUGUUUCUACUUAUAGAGUUUUGGGGUCUUAUAAUGGUUUGUUUUGCUUGGUUACUUAUGGUAAAACUAUGUAUUUUUGGAUUUGGAAUCCCACCACUAGAGAAUAUAAGAAAAUUUCACGACCGACGUAUGAAUCACCAGUUGAGAUCUUAAGAUUUGGGUUUGGCCAUGAUAGCGAAAUGGAUGAUUACAAGAUAGUAAUAAUUUUCCGUUAUAAGAAUUCUCCUAAUUGCUUUAGACUGCGAGUAUACACAUUGGGUUCGGAUUCUUGGAACUAUAUUAACAACCCCAACUCUUAUUCGAUCUGGGCUUGUAAAACAUGUCUUUAUGGAAGAGAAUGUGGUUUGCUUUUCCAUGGAGCUCUUCAUUGGAUAGGCAAAAGCCUCAAAACAGACUCUGAAGUUAUUGUCUCUUUUGAUAUCAGCACCGAGAGACUCAUGGAUGUGCCGUUACGUGAAGAAAUUAAUCACCCUACAGAAGGUUGGGAAGAAUUGGAUUAACAUUUGGGGGUUUUGGGAGACUGCUUAUGUUUAGCUGUUGCUGUGGAAGAUACUCGAUUUGAUGUAUGGUGAUGCGACAUUAUGGAGUAGGAGACUCUUGGACUAAGCAAUUUACGAUUACCCAUGACCGGGUACAUCAUUUCACAACCAGGAAGUCAUUCUUUAAGCCGAUAUGGUCUUUUGAAAAUGGCAAGAUUCUAAUAGAGUCUCUGAAGGUUUUAAUGUUAUAUGAUCAAACAAAUGGAAUAGCUAAAAUGAUAAAAUUCCCUAUUAUUACUGGUAUGAGAACUGGAAGAGGUGUUUUACUGUUGAAUGGAGAGAGUUAUGUGGAAAGCCUAAUAUCACUGAAAUCUGGUACUUAUGUGGAGAAAAUGACUCCCACUCUAAACAUGGAGAAGUCCAUCAGUAAAUUGGUCAUCUUUCGAUUUCCAUAAUUAUGGGUCUGCAAGAAACUGUUCAUUGACACUAAAUGUUUCUAGCGAUUGUAAGAAAGUUCUUGUGAAGAUGAUUGGUUUCGUUGAGGUUCUAUUUCACCUAGCUAGUCUCUUAACAAAUUUAAGGGGACGGUUUUGGUUACAGGGGGCUCUUCAUUGGAUAGGCAAAAGCCACAGAACAGGCUCUGAAGUUAUUGUCUCUUUUGAUAUUAGCACUGAUAGACUCAUGGAUGUGCCGUUACUUGAAGAAAUUAAUGAUCCUCCAGAAGGUUGGGAAAAAUUGGAUAAACAUGUGGGGGGUGUUGGGAGACUGCUUAUGUUUAGCUGUUGCUGUGGAAGAUACUCGGUUUGAUGUAUGGGUGAUGCGAGAUUAUGGAGUCGCAGAGUCUUGGAGUAAGAAAUUUACGUUUACACAUGGCCAAGUACAUCAUUUUACAACAAGGAAUUCAUUCUUUAAGCCGAUAUGGUCUUUUGAAAAUUGCAAGAUUCUGAUAGAGUAUCUGAAGGAUUUAAUGUUAUAUGAUGCAGAAGAGGUAUUUUACUGUUGGAUGGAGAGAGUUAUGUGGAAAUCCUGGUAUCACUGAAAUCUUGUACUUAAGUGGAGAAGAUUACUACAACUGUAAAUAUAGAGAAGUCCGUCAGUACAUUGGUUAUCUUUCAAGUGUCAUAAUUAUGGGUCUGCAAGAAACUGGUUAGUAAUUCUCUUAUGCUUUUGUAUAUCUUUCCAUCUUGCAUUUUCCAAGUUUGAUUUGGGUCUUAGACGGUCUUUGGUACAUUAGGUGACUGUUUUGCUUAUAAACUCAAUAUUUGCAUCUUUUACUAUCACAAAAGUAGUGUCUCCUUACAAUUGACGGAAAUAAACCAUGUCUCCAUAGAGUAUUGCAUUUAUUUUUAUCUGGUAUUUUUCAAUGUUUUUCUACCUUUCGGGUAUGUAUUUGGAACAGUUUUGAAUCUUUUGAUUGUCCUUCGAAUCCAUUGCCUGGCAAAAUAGUAACUAUAAGAAAGCAUUUUGUCAGAGCAAUGGAUUGGCAUGGCCAUAACCUCAGUCUUUUGUUAAGAAUCUUACAGGGACCAACUGUUGUAUGCUCUGAUAGCCAGAGAGGUACAGUGCAGGGUACUUUUGCUGGUUUUACUUUGUAGGGGCAGGGUACUUCUGCUUUUUGUUUCUUCUGAAAAAACAAUCAAUCUCGUAAAUUGACUAAUUGGUAUGAUCUGA